AGUGAACGCUGGCGGUAGGCCUAACACAUGCAAGUCGAACGGCAGCACAGUAAGAGCUUGCUCUUACGGGUGGCGAGUGGCGGACGGGUGAGGAAUACAUCGGAAUCUACUUUUUCGUGGGGGAUAACGUAGGGAAACUUACGCUAAUACCGCAUACGACCUACGGGUGAAAGCAGGGGAUCUUCGGACCUUGCGCGAUCGAAUGAGCCGAUGUCGGAUUAGCUAGUUGGCGGGGUAAAGGCCCACCAAGGCGACGAUCCGUAGCUGGUCUGAGAGGAUGAUCAGCCACACUGGAACUGAGACACGGUCCAGACUCCUACGGGAGGCAGCAGUGGGGAAUAUUGGACAAUGGGCGCAAGCCUGAUCCAGCCAUACCGCGUGGGUGAAGAAGGCCUUCGGGUUGUAAAGCCCUUUUGUUGGGAAAGAAAAGCAGCAGGUUAAUACCCCGCUGUUCUGACGGUACCCAAAGAAUAAGCACCGGCUAACUUCGCG
rnacentral:rRNA from 1 species